CUUCUGGAUUCAAGAUGGCCGCUAGACCGGAGAGUCCUCCUGCGCAGGCAAGACCUACUCGUUUAGAGUCAUGUUAUCUUCGAGUAUCUAGAGAGACAUUUUAACCCACACCCUAGAGAGGCGUUGUAAUCCUUGCGUAUCUUUUAACGCUACUUGGCCCUCACCUGCGAAUCUACUGUUCUUUAAUAAUCCUCAUUUUCUGUGCCUCGGAAGUGCCUUCCUCUCUUCGCGUCUGUUUUCCGGAAGUGGUUCUUCUCCCUCUCCACCCUUGCGCCCGCUUGGGCGGUCCAGCUGCCCCUAGGGCCGACUCCAGGGGCUAUUUGGCGGCUGAACAUCCCGCAGUUUUUCAAGGCGUGCCUUUGGUUUUUUUAAGAAGUGCUAUCUAAAGGAAAGGCUGGACUAUGGCUCUGGAACUUUCAUAUCCUCAGUUGACCUUAGGCUGUGUGACCUUGAGCAGGUAGCAUAACCUGAGUUUCCCGCGUGACCUAUGUGCAGAUUGAGAUGAUAAAAUGAGAGAGCUAAACCGGAAAGCUCUUCCCACAUAGCAGGCCGUGAGCAGGUGGCCGUUUUGUCCUCUGCCACCACUGGCUCAGACUAAAGCAGUUUCACUGACCGCCAAGAUUGCAUGCCAUGCCCACCAAGAUUUAAAGGACUCUGAUAAUUCUUUCUCUCCCCAGUGCUUUCCCUAUCUAAUCUUAAUAAGCAAGCCUGGAGGAAUCUCUGACUUGUGAGUGAAGGCUCUCCAGGUGCCCUGGUUUAAGGGCAGAGAUUUAUUUUCUCUGAGGCUACAAAGGAGCAUCUGGGAGAUGCGAGAAUUCUUCUACCUUAGGCAAAACAGGGAGGAGGGUUGGAGCUCUCCAAGUUGCCUCUGGCUUGAGCUUUUUCUUUCUCUUUUGGUGUGUCCUCUCUGGCCAACAACACCUGUGAGUCCUUGAUUUGGCGAUUAGGGAAGAUGUUUUUAGUUCACAUAACUAUUCUUUAGAAAAAAAUCCUGAAAACACCUUAUUGCCUGAUCAUAGAAUGACUGCAUUACUCAGAAUUCUUUACCUCCUCUGGAAUUUAGUGAAGGGAAGGCCCAACGUACAUUAGGAAAAUACAGGCACACUCCAGUCCUUAAACCUUCCACAAUCCUCUAACUCUUUGAGGUCGAGUGUGAUCCUCCCCAGAACUACAUCUUCCAGGAAGUUCAUGAGAAAGGAAGGAUCCCAGGUCCCAUCCCUGAUCUCCUGAAUCGGCAUCUGCAUUUUAACAGAAUCCUGAAGCAGUGGUCUAACUCCUUUGGUUGUGGUAUGGUUUGAAUGUAUACCUCCAAAAUUCACAUAUUGAAAUACUAACCCCCAAGGUGAUAGUAUUAGGAGGUGGGGCCUUUGGGAGUUAAGUCAUGAGGGUGUAGCCCUCAUGAAUGGGAUUAGUACUCUUAGAAAAGGGACCCCAGAGAGGUCUCUUUCCACCAUGUAAGGAUAAAAGUACAAGGAGAAGAUGGUAGUCUGCAAACUGGAAAAGGGCCCUCCUCAGAACCUGACCAUCUUGGCACCUUGAUCUCAGACUUCCAUCUUCCAGAACUGUGGGAAAUAAAUUUCUUUUAUAAACACUCAGUCAAUGCUACUUUAUUAUAGCAGCCUGAAUGGAUUAAGACAGGUGGUCUGGUUUAAAGUGAUGUGUUGGCAUCAGAAGUUUAAGGAGAGACUGGAUUCACAGAACCAGAAUCUGGGAUGCUGUUUACAGAGCAAGUAUUUCCUGCAUUUGGACACUGUCGGCAGGUCGAUUCAGAAGACAGACGAAAACUUUAUCACCGGGCAGCCUGGAUGAACACCACAACUUUGAGAUCUUUCACUUAAAGGGAAGAUAAGGGCAUCCACUAUUUCUACACCUGGCUGGCGGAGUGAGAACUCACCAAGGCACUUACAAAUUCAUAGACUAUUACUACUGAAGACAAGUUAAGAGAUUGUGUCCUCCAAACUCAUCAUUUUUCAGCAUUAUUAUUUUAGAAGAGAGGUCUAGAUCAACCGCUUUAAAAUGACACCAACAGAAGGGCAGUGAAGAAGGCAUUCUCGGAGGCUGCACAUUUCUGGAAGACAGCAUGACAGUAUGCCUCAAGUGCAAACAGUUUAUCCAUCUAUACAUAAUGAAACUAAAGAAGAUAAAGCUGUUUGUUCCUUGGGACAGUCUAAGAAUAAAUAAAAGACAAAAAAUUUUUCAAAAGGAAGAAAAAGGUAGGUCAUGAUUUUUGUUUUUGGAAUAAAAUUUAUAAUUUUGUUACAAUAAAAAGUUGGACUUCCAUUUCCCCUCAAAAUAUAAUGUUUUAAACAUGUCUUCUGCAGUUAAAUACUGAAAUACCAGUAUUCUCAGUUGACUCUGUUAUUGCAAUCACUAAAUGUCACCAUUGGCAUGUGGGCCUGUGGAAUGGUGAUGUGAAUAACAUGACACUUCCUUUCCGUCAUUUCCCUACAAUACAGUAUUGUUAAGCAGACUUUAGUGGAAGUUGAAGAAUAUCUAGAGCUAGUUUUAGUGACCAAAAAAUAAACCUUCUCCACAACCGAAUAUCAAAUAUUACUGUCCAGGGGAAAUGAAAAAAAAAAAAUUCACAUGGCAUCAGCUCUUAAUAUAUUCCAGUUCUAGCCAUGUGCAGUGAUCCUGAAGACAUUUUUUCUUUGAAUUGUGGGGAGAGAGAGACAAAAGGUAGAGUUAAUGUAAAAACAAAAGCGGGAAACCAGUGAGAAAAAGAGAAAGAGACAGAAUAACAGUUCUCAGCCCUCUACCAACCCAAUCAUCAACUCAAAGUCAAGAGAACAUUACCUCCAACUUGCCAAACUUGCUUCCACCUCCAAAUUGAACAUUAUUUCUCUAGGAGUGAAAUUCAUAUAAUAAAAGGUUUUGAAACUUUGCCUUUUCUAAAAUCUGAGUUAUGAUCAUUCAGGUAUUAGCAGAAGGGGCUUGGUAACCCAACUCUUGAGAACAGUUCAG